ensembl:lncRNA
AGUGUAUAGUUCAGAUUGAAAUGAUGUUCCUCAUGAAUCAGCUGUUUCCACUGAAUAUCAUUAUAAAUGACUCAGAAGCAUGGAGAUGAGUUUAGUAGAUUAUAUUUUUACUCACUGAUGCAGUUGAAAUUUGUGUUCAUUUGCUGCUGUUACGAGUUCAGUUUUUGUACUGUUUGUAGUGUUUAAUGUUUUUUUUUCUUCUUUUAAACAUUUUGCCUUGUGUUCUUACAUUCAUAUUUUCUGUCGCUUUCAGAUAUUUUCAUUUUUGACUCCAGUGAUGAUGCAGUGAUCCGGAUUCUUCUGCUGGGCAGAAACACUUCUGGGAAAAGCUCAUCUGGGAACACUAUACUGGGAGAAGAGAGGUUUAAAAGGCACGAGUCUGAGGUGUGUGAGGGUCAAGCUCAGAUCUGUGGGCAGCAGGUUGCUGUGAUUGAUUGUCCAGAUCUACUGGAUCCAGAUCUGAAUGAAGAGCAGCUGGAGAAGAUGAAAGAGCAGCUGGUCGCUGGAUGUUCAGCAGGUCUCAGUUCAGUUCUGCUCACCGUGUCUCUGGAGAAACCUGUGGGAAAUGAGGAGGAGAUCCUGGAUUAUAUGAAGUGUUUGUUUGGUGCUGGAGUUCAGAAAUACAUCAUGAUUCUGUUCACACGUGGAGAUGAUCUGGAGGAUCUGGAUCAGACCAUUGAUGAACAUCUGAAACACAAAGAUCAUGAGGAUCUGCAGCGACUCGUGACUGAAUGUGGAGGAAAGUUUCACUGUUUCAAUAAGAUGAAGAAAGCGAAGGGUCAAGUUGAAGAUCUACUGCAGAAGAUUGAGGGAAUGAUGACGGAGAACGGAGGGAAUUUCUUUAUGAAACAAAUGCAGAGGAGCGACAGCAUGGACGUUCUUAAUGUCAGCUUUUCUGGACAGAGUUUACCAUAUCCAGUCUCCAGAUGAAGUUGAUGCAGUUCUUGAGAGGAAAGACCAGAUCAGGCUGGCUCUGCUGGGAAAAACUGGACUCUGCAACACUACUGGAAACACCAUCGUGGAUAUCAAACAGUGUCCGUGAGAAACUACAGUCUCAGUGAUGUGUGUGAUUAAGAAACUUAAUAAUCAGACACACAAGACUCCUAAAGCAGUUCUUUUCUUAUCAGCGGUGUAUUAAAAUCAUGCAGAGAUAUGCAUGCAGCGAUCACAGUAAUACAUCAGUCACUGCACGAGCUGCGAGUGUCUCCAAACAACUGUAAUAAAUGCACCGCAUUAAUCUGAAUCUGCUGUUCAUUCACAUGAUGCUGGACUAUGAUGUACUCUGUAAAUAUAAUGUGCUUUCUGUAUCGCUAUCCAGAGUGAGUGGCUUUCCCUUUAGAGGGGAAUCGGUCAGAUAUCAGAAUAUUGAAAGAAUAAAGUUGAUUUACUGUGAUUCUGAAUGCUGUGUCUGUCUG